UGCAUCCCGUGUGACCUCCCUA
rnacentral:miRNA from 13 species